ACUCAAAGGAAUAGACGGGGGCUCACACAAGCGGUGGAGCAUGUUGCUUAAUUCGAAGCAACGCGAAGAACCUUACCCGGGUUUGACAUGCACGGAUUAGUCAUUGGAAACAGUGAUGACAAUCGCAAGAUUGGAACGUGCACAGGUGCUGCAUGGCUGUCGUCAGCUCGUGCUGUGAAGUGUUUGGUUAAGUCCAUUAACGAGCGCAACCCUUGUCGUUAGUUGCUAACAGGUAAUGCUGAGGACUCUAGCGAGACUGCCGGCGUCAAGCCGGAGGAAGGUGGGGAUGACGUCAAGUCCUCAUGGCCCUUACAUCCGGGGUUGCAAACGUGCUACAAUGGCGCGCACAGAGCGAAGCAAGGCCGCAAGGCGGAGCAAAUCGCAAAAAACGCGCCCCAGUUCGGAUUGAAGGCUGCAACCCGCCUUCAUGAAGUCGGAAUCGCUAGUAAUCGGAGAUCAGCUACGCUCCGGUGAAUACGUUCCUGAGCCUUGUACACACCGCCCGU
rnacentral:rRNA from 1 species